UUGCCUUAAACUAAUGAAUAAGGAAAACAAAGUGAGCGGUGGGAACUGCUCACAGCGCUGAGAAAAUCUUGUGCAA
rnacentral:snRNA from 1 species